rnacentral:lncRNA from 1 species
UACGCUGGAAUCAAAUGACUUUUGCUGCUCAACGCACAUCCUCACCAAAGAUAUCGCCACAUACUUGAGCUUGUUGAAUCGUAGAUUCAAGCAGGUAAUUGAUCUCUUCAGAUAUUUCAAAACUGCUUCAGCAUUAUCCCCGGAGGCACAUCCCUAAUGGUAUACAACAAAGUACAGAAUCAGUUAAAACUCUCGUGCUUACAUAUACAUACCACAUAUACCUAUCUUACCAUGAUGUGAAGUGCAUUCAAAUUGGAAAAAGGUAAACUAUGCAUUAAGCAGGUUUAACUUACAUAAAGGUAAACAAAAAAGUGUACACAAUUAGGAUAUUUUAAAGACAGAAAUAACCAUCUAUCAUGUGUAGGUUGAAAAUCUAAAGAAAAGGUGAGUAGCAUUGUACAAUAGAUUAAACUACAGUGUCGGUGUAAUAUUUUGGUUACACUGCCUCCGUGCUCCAUUUAAUAUGCAAAACCUGAUUUGAUUCUUGGGAUUUGUCUAAAUUACAUCCCUAAUAAAUGAGAUUGUUCUUAUCUAAAAAGGGGCAACCCAAUAGCAUAGAGAAGCAUAAUUUUAAACAGUAGUCACGAAUUCGGAUUCUAAUGACUUUCUUGACCACUACUACUAAGUGGAUCCCAUCAUACAUAAGAUUCCGGGACAAGUAAUAGAGAGGAGUGAAACCAGUAUACAAAAUGGCAUGCAUACAUUAAGAAAUUUAGGAGCAAUAUAUAUAGUAUUUUACGUUGCAAUAGUUAUAGCUAACGUCCAAUACGUACUAUGCUAUACACUGUAAAGAAAUACCAUGUCAAUAUGAAUUUUUAUGUUAAGUAAAAAAAUCAACUAGAUCAUACACAUAUCAAGUUCAUGAAUCUUCCAGUACUUACCCAAAUCUGAAGUUUACUCAAAUUGGGGCAACUUCUAAUAAACUGUAGAGCACAAGUGGUCUGAGACAGUGAAAAAAAUUAUUACUCCAGCGGACAUAAAACUGACAAUUGACAUAGAAUUGGAUCACUUGGAAACAUAUACUCUAUUGCGUCUUUAACGGGAAGAAGUUCAAGUAUAUAAUCUAUAACAUUUGCCGACCCGAUCAAAAAAUACCACAAACUUUAACACCAAACAAACCUAAAUAAAUUUGGAGACAUUUCAAGAAACAAUUUAAGUAUCUCAAAUGACAUGCAAACAUCAAGACAUUCAAAAUUGCUAAGAUUAAUCAUACCUGACACAUAUUAUAUAUGUAGGUAUAGUAAUUAAGUAAUUAUUCAUAAGUAUCGAAGAACCCACUUUGAAAUACUCAAAAUGAAGGCAAAACCUCCAAACCAAGAUGCUUAUUUAAACACUAUACACCAAUUCAAACUCACAAAACAAAUUUAAAAAGCUACACAACAUGAAAUCAACACCUUAAACACUACACACCAAUUCAAACUCACAAAACAAAUUUAAAAAGCUAGACAAUAUGAAAUCAACAUCUUUUUUGUCCUAAUCGCAGUUAAUCGGAACAAAUCGAAGUUGAUGAAAAAGAGAGCUCACAGUGAAUAGAUGUUUUCGUAUCAAUAAUUUCAGCCUAAAUACUAUUUGUGUCUGUUACCUCUUUCAAAUGUUGUAUUUGUGUAGUUUCCUCAAAAAUCUUCAAUUUUCUCCCUUCUUGGGCUUAUUAGAGAACUAAGGUCUAAGUCCAAUCCAAUUGGGUUUCAUAUUAAGCUCUCAAUAAUCUCUGAAUAUAGCAAAAUAGAAACAAUGUUUGGGCAGAAAAUGUACACGGACAAAACAAA